UACGUAGGGACCGAGCGUUGUCCGGAAUCAUUGGGCGUAAAGAGCGUGUAGGCGGCUAUUUAAGUCCUGCGUGAAAUCCUGCGGCUCAACCGGGGGAGGGUGGCUGGAAACUGGCAGGCUAGAGUGCGGGAGAGGAGAGUGGAAUUCCUGGUGUAGCGGUGAAAUGCGCAGAUAUCAGGAAGAACACCCGUGGCGAAGGCGGCUCUCUGGAACGCAACUGACGCUGAGACGCGAAAGCGUGGGGAGCAAACAGG
rnacentral:rRNA from 1 species